CCUACGGGUGGCAGCAGUGGGGAAUAUUGCACAAUGGGGGAAACCCUGAUGCAGCGACGCCGCGUGAGUGAAGAAGGAUUUCUGUAUUUUAAGCUCCAUUAGUAGGGAAGAAAAUGACGGUACCUGUGUCAGAAGCCCCGUCUAACUACGUUCCAGCAGCCGCGGUAAUACGGAGGGGGCAAGCGUUAUCCGGAUUUACUGGGUGUAAAGGGAGCGUAGACGGAAGCACAAGUCUGAAGUGAAAUGCCGGGGCUUAACCCCGGAACCGCCUUGGAAACUGUGCAGCUAGAGUGCAGGAGCGGUAAGUGGAAUGUAUGGUGUAGCGGUGAAAUGCGUAGAUAUUAGAAGGAACACCAGUGGCGAAGGCGGCUUACUGGACUAUUACUGACGUUGAGGCUCGAAAGCGUGGGGAGCAAACAGGAUUAGAUACCCCUGUAGUC
rnacentral:rRNA from 1 species